CGUGGCGGCUACCAUGCAGUCGAGCGGAUGAGAGGAGCUUGCUCCUUGAUUUAGCGGCGGACGGGUGAGUAAUGCCUAGGAAUCUGCCUGGUAGUGGGGGAUAACGUUCCGAAAGGAACGCUAAUACCGCAUACGUCCUACGGGAGAAAGCAGGGGACCUUCGGGCCUUGCGCUAUCAGAUGAGCCUAGGUCGGAUUAGCUAGUUGGUGAGGUAAUGGCUCACCAAGGCGACGAUCCGUAACUGGUCUGAGAGGAUGAUCAGUCACACUGGAACUGAGACACGGUCCAGACUCCUACGGGAGGCAGCAGUGGGGAAUAUUGGACAAUGGGCGAAAGCCUGAUCCAGCCAUGCCGCGUGUGUGAAGAAGGUCUUCGGAUUGUAAAGCACUUUAAGUUGGGAGGAAGGGCAUUAACCUAAUACGUUAGUGUUUUGACGUUACCGACAGAAUAAGCACCGGCUAACUUCGUGCCAGCAGCCGCGGUAAUACGAAGGGUGCAAGCGUUAAUCGGAAUUACUGGGCGUAAAGCGCGCGUAGGUGGUUCGUUAAGUUGGAUGUGAAAGCCCCGGGCUCAACCUGGGAACUGCAUCCAAAACUGGCGAGCUAGAGUACGGUAGAGGGUGGUGGAAUUUCCUGUGUAGCGGUGAAAUGCGUAGAUAUAGGAAGGAACACCAGUGGCGAAGGCGACCACCUGGACUGAUACUGACACUGAGGUGCGAAAGCGUGGGGAGCAAACAGGAUUAGAUACCCUGGUAGUCCACGCCGUAAACGAUGUCAACUAGCCGUUGGGUUCCUUGAGAACUUAGUGGCGCAGCUAACGCAUUAAGUUGACCGCCUGGGGAGUACGGCCGCAAGGUUAAAACUCAAAUGAAUUGAC
rnacentral:rRNA from 1 species